rnacentral:rRNA from 1 species
AGAGUUUGAUCCUGGCUCAGGAUGAACGCUAGCGACAGGCCUAACACAUGCAAGUCGAGGGGCAACAUGGUAUCAGCUUGCUGAUACCGAUGGCGACCGGCGCACGGGUGAGUAACGCGUAUGUAAUCUACCUGUAACAGAGGGAUAACCCGGAGAAAUCCGGACUAAUACCUCAUAGCACAUAUUAUUCGCAUGAAUUUUAUGUUAAAGAGACUCGGUUACAGAUGAACAUGCGUUCCAUUAGCUGGUUGGCGGGGUCACGGCCCACCAAGGCAACGAUGGAUAGGGGUUCUGAGAGGAAGGUCCCCCACACUGGUACUGAGACACGGACCAGACUCCUACGGGAGGCAGCAGUGAGGAAUAUUGGUCAAUGGGCGAAAGCCUGAACCAGCCAAGUCGCGUGGAGGAAGACGGCCCUACGGGUUGUAAACUCCUUUUACCUGGGAAUAACGGGCGCUACGCGUAGCGCUGUGCAAGUACCGGGCGAAUAAGCAUCGGCUAAUUCCGUGCCAGCAGCCGCGGUAAUACGGAAGAUGCGAGCGUUAUCCGGAUUUAUUGGGUUUAAAGGGUGCGUAGGCGGAAGAAUAAGUCAGCGGUGAAAUGCUUCAGCUCAACUGGAGAAUUGCCGAUGAAACUGUUUUUCUAGAGUAUAAAAGAGGUAUGCGGAAUGCGUGGUGUAGCGGUGAAAUGCAUAGAUAUCACGCAGAACCCCGAUUGCGAAGGCAGCAUACUGGGCUAUAACUGACGCUGAAGCACGAAAGCGUGGGUAUCGAACAGGAUUAGAUACCCUGGUAGUCCACGCCGUAAACGAUGAAUACUAACUGUUUGCGAUAUAAUGUAAGCGGUACAGCGAAAGCGUUAAGUAUUCCACCUGGGGAGUACGCCGGCAACGGUGAAACUCAAAGGAAUUGACGGGGGCCC